AUGCUCGCUUCGGCAGCACAUACACUAAAACUGGAACGAUACAGAGAAGAUCAGCAUGGCCCCUGCGCAAGGAUGACACGCAAAUUCAUGAAGGGUUAAAAAUUUAA
ensembl:snRNA U6 U6 spliceosomal RNA